UGGGGGAUAUUGCACAAUGGGCGAAAGCCUGAUGCAGCGACGCCGCGUGGGGGAUGAAGGCCUUCGGGUUGUAAACUUCUUUUGCUCUGAACAAGGCAUGCCAUUGGGGUGUGUUGAGUGUAGGGGUUGAUUAGCGCCGGCUAACUACGUGCUAGCAGCCGCGGUAAUACGUAGGGCGCGAGCGUUGUCCGGAAUUAUUGGGCGUAAAGGGCUUGUAGGUGGCUGGUUGCGUCUGUCGUGAAAGCUCAUGGCUUAACUGUGGGUUUGCGGUGGGUACGGGCUGGCUUGAGUGCAGUAGGGGAGGCUGGAAUUCCUGGUGUAGCGGUGGAAUGCGCAGAUAUCAGGAGGAAUACCGGUGGCGAAAGCGGGUCUCUGGGCUGUUACUGACGCUGAGGAGCGAAAGCGUGGGGAGCGAACAGG
rnacentral:rRNA from 1 species